rfam:Gossypium hirsutum cultivar TM-1 chromosome 6, whole genome shotgun sequence
UAUUAAAAUUUUUAUCAAUUUGUAUUGUUAAAAGAUUGACGCGGUUGGCAGAAUAAUUAGAUAGUGACAUGUGGAUCGAUUUUUAACAGCAGAAAUGGAUGAAAUUUUUAACA